GCUUUACAUUUUACAGCACGAUAG
rnacentral:siRNA from 1 species